AUUUUAAUAAAAAAAAAUCAGUGGACUUUGAAGUGGACCUAAUUCGGUUUUCUUUUUAAAAGCCUCCAAAGACAAAAUGCAGCUGUUAAAACCUAAGAUAAA